rnacentral:rRNA from 1 species
CAGGCCUAACACAUGCAAGUCGAACGAUGACUCUCUAGCUUGCUAGAGAUGAUUAGUGGCGGACGGGUGAGUAACAUUUAGGAAUCUGCCUAGUAGUGGGGGAUAGCUCGGGGAAACUCGAAUUAAUACCGCAUACGACCUACGGGUGAAAGGGGGCGCAAGCUCUUGCUAUUAGAUGACCCUAAAUCAGAUUAGCUAGUUGGUGGGGUAAAGGCCCACCAAGGCGACGAUCUGUAACUGGUCUGAGAGGAUGAUCAGUCACACCGGAACUGAGACACGGUCCGGACUCCUACGGGAGGCAGCAGUGGGGAAUAUUGGACAAUGGGGGCAACCCUGAUCCAGCCAUGCCGCGUGUGUGAAGAAGGCCUUUUGGUUGUAAAGCACUUUAAGCAGGGAGGAGAGGCUAAUGGUUAAUACCCAUUAGAUUAGGCGUUACCUGCAGAAUAAGCACCGGCUAACUCUGUGCCAGCAGCCGCGGUAAU